AUGCCUUAAACUAAUGAGUAAGGAAAAUAACAAGUUAGGGUGAUGCCUAACUUCAAUAUUAUGACCAUUUUUUGGGGGGU